rnacentral:rRNA from 1 species
AUGCAGUCGAGCGGUAACAGGGAGUAGCUUGCUACUCCGCUGACGAGCGGCGGACGGGUGAGUAAUGUCUGGGAAACUGCCUGAUGGAGGGGGAUAACUACUGGAAACGGUAGCUAAUACCGCAUAACGUCGCAAGACCAAAGAGGGGGACCUUCGGGCCUCUUGCCAUCAGAUGUGCCCAGAUGGGAUUAGCUAGUAGGUGGGGUAAUGGCUCACCUAGGCGACGAUCCCUAGCUGGUCUGAGAGGAUGACCAGCCACACUGGAACUGAGACACGGUCCAGACUCCUACGGGAGGCAGCAGUGGGGAAUAUUGCACAAUGGGCGCAAGCCUGAUGCAGCCAUGCCGCGUGUAUGAAGAAGGCCUUCGGGUUGUAAAGUACUUUCAGCGAGGAGGAAGGCRURAARCUUAAUACGYUUYRYGAUUGACGUUACUCGCAGAAGAAGCACCGGCUAACUCCGUGCCAGCAGCCGCGGUAAUACGGAGGGUGCAAGCGUU